CCGCUCCCCCGCGCCCCGCCCGCGCCUGGCCCGCUCGCCGGCGCCGGGAGAGACCUCGUAACGGAACUGGGACGCCAGCGCUGCAUUGUGGGAGCUUUUAAAGCGGCGGGGAGCUCGGCGCGACCCUCGGGCCCACCGGGCCACGCUCGCCCGGCCCGCGACGCCCCCCCGCUGUCGCCUGGCCCGCGACGCACCGAGGCCUGAGGACCCGAAAGCCGGGCGCGGGGAGAUGACCGGUGGCUCGUGACGGUCCCACGGGCAAAAUCUUCCAUCGCCCGGGGCUGAGACUUGUCAAACUGCCCUCUACGGUCACCCGGAAAGUAGGAGGCUUUUUCUGCAGAGGGAAAAAAAUCAAAAAGAGCCGUUCCAUCCCCCCUCCAAGGACUGGGUUUGAAUUGCUUUUCAUCUGCAGUGGCUGUGAUUCAGCGUCCCUCUUAGCAGCAGGCACUGACAGAGGCAGGAGAGGAAAAAAGAAAGAAAGAAAGAGAAAACACAGCAAAUGAAUCAAACGGACCAGGUAGCAGGCAAGAGUGUGGUUAUCGUUGGACCAGGAUUCAGGAUCUGACCGAGUAGCUGACUCUUAAUCCAGUUUGUGUUGAUCACCAGGAGGAUCUGGACCUCAGUGUUAUCACAUCUAAAGGUGAUAUGCCAACUCCACCUUUGCCUUCCACCAUGUUUGGAAGCUCCCUGAGGCCUCACCAGGAGCAGAUGCUCGUCCCAUGCUUCCUAUAAGCCUGCAGAACUGUGAGCCAUAAUAAACUGUGAAUUAUAAAUUGCCUUUAUAGCAAUGCAAAUGGACCAGUACAGAUGGGAUGCUGGGAAGACAGUUGUUCCACCUUCAGUAAAGUCCAUGGAACACAGUUGUGACUAUAUUCUAGGCCAGCCAAGAUGCUUGUACUCAGAAAGGAGUGAUCUCAGGACCAUAAGAAAGUGAAAAAAUAAAAAUAAGAAAACAAAGAAGGGAUUGUCAAUGAAUCAGAAUUCAUCAAGGUCAAAGUCUUAGGAAAUUCCUUCAUGAGGAAGUCUAGGGGGGCUAUGGAAAUGAAAAUUUUUAAACAAAUAGGUCAAGGAAGCUUUUCCUGAUCCACUAAGGACAAUCAAACCCUUCAUGAUCUAGAAUCUGGAGACUGUGUCUUCUGGGAAUAGUAUCAGAGAAAGACUGCCCUUACUGCCCACAUGUAGCAAAACUUUGAGACGUUGAAUUAUGGGUCCAUAAUCUCACAACUCAGAGGGGCACCUCUAGACUCUUGGAACUGCAUAUCUAUUGGAGACUUUAAGGUAAAGCUGAACAGAGACGUUUUUCUCCAGAAGCAGACAGCACCAUAGUCAUGGACAGCUUUCCCAAGAUCACAGAUCAAGACUUCUGUGCCGUCAUGAGACUCAUACCUCUUAAUUUUUUCUUGCUUAUGCUUCUGUGAACAAUAGAAUUGGAAAAGGGGUGGUCCCGCGUGCACCCAUAGGGUAUACUUUUAUUUGUGGAGGAUUUUGCUGCCAACCUUAUACAUGGGCAAACUUAUGCCUUCAUGGAUGGAAGAUAAAGGGCUAAUAUGGGUUAG
rnacentral:lncRNA from 1 species